UCUAUUCGUUCUCACUGAAUCCUCACAGUGACCCUGUCAGUCACAUACCAGCCUAUCCCCGUUGGACAAAUGAGGAAACUAAGACCUGGAGAUUAAGUGACGUGUCCAGUUAGAGCUGUGAGUGUUGGUUCCAAGCUGACAUUUAUUGAGCACUCACUGCACGCCAGGCUGUGUACCAGUGCUUCACAUUGAAUCCUCAAACAAUACCAUGCGGACAAUCUGGGCUAAGACAAGUGCCAUUUAGCACCAUAAGACUGAAUGAGAUCACCAAUGGAUUAAUGCAGAUCGGGAACAGAUUUAGGGACUGAGCCCUAGGACCCUCCAACAUUUCGAGGUGAAGGAGGUAAGGAGGUCCUAGCAAAGGGGACCCUGAGGAAUAAUCAAGAGAAUGUAGUGUCAUGGAAGCCAAGAGAAAAAAGUGUUUCAAGGAAGAACGAAAGAUCAGCUGAUUCUUGCUAAGCGGUCAAGUAAGAUGAAGACAGAGUGAUGACCAUUGGGUUUAACCACAAUGGAGGGAGCUGGUGACUUUAACAAGGAUUGCAACAAUUUCUGAAGGGAAAAAGGAGUCCUCGUGUUGGAGCAAGUUGGAAACCACUGAGCUGGUCUGUCAAGGCAGCAUGUCAUUUCCCCUUUAGCAGAGUGAGAGUCAUGAGAGCUGAGGUCAGGUUCCAGCCCCUCCCCUGGGUGGCUGGAUGAUCUUUGGGGCAGCCCCAUGUGACUUGGAGAGCUUCGGUUUCCUCAUCCUGAGCAGAGAUCAUGGCAAUUAUUUGGCAAGAGUGUCAAGAAGAUUAAAUGAGAUAAUGAAGGGGCUCUGAAAGCUGAUGUGCUGCACAAAUGUAAGGAUUGUUGUUGUCAUCUCUGACACAUACUGCCAGCUUCUUAAGAGCAGGGACAGUGUCUUCUGUUUUUUAUCUUCGGUUCCCUCAGUGACAACCCGCUCCCCCACCUCCUGCACUCAAUGCAGGACUGUGGAGAUGACCUCGUAAAAGCACCGUGAAGUGACUAACACGGUGGAUUAGCACCUAGAAGUUGCUUAAUACACACGGUAGCUGAUCCCUAUGCAUGUGCUGUUGUACAGACAGGCGGUAUAGUGCAGAGGUUCAGAGCAUGGAGCCUGGUUCGAAUCCUCUCUCUGACAUGUGCUAAGUAUGGGCAAGAUUAGCACUAACCUGCCCUAGUGUCCUUGUCUAUCCCACAGGGCUGAUGAGAAUAGUAGCUAGCUCAUGAGGUGGUCGUGAGAGCUGAAGGAGUUUAGUCUAGGUAGAGCCAGGCACAAAUCAAGUCCUAGGCAGGCAUCAGCUGGUGUUACUAUUUUACUAAUUAUAUCCUGAGGUGGUGUGAGAAGAUCAUGAGAUGGGAAAAUAAGAAAUCUAGCUCCUGGAUUUUGUUCAGAGUCAAAAAGGCCUUCAAAGACGGUCACAUGCUCAGGCCAGGCUCUCAGGGUCAGCACACAUAACGGAGCCAUGAAUAUGGUUGAGCAUCAUUUCCCCCAGGUGUGGGCUAGAUCCCUAGACCAGACAUCGUUGGGUAAAAAGUGUGUGUAUUUAACAUUUGGGUAAAUAUCACAACUGUCCAACAUGCAGAUGUUUUUGUUUGUGUUCUGUCCCGUCAGAACAAGAGAGCCUGUUUCCUCGUACCCCCAACCCACCCACAAUUUUUAAAUAAAUUUAUUUAUUUUACUUAUUUAUUUUUGGCUGUGUUGGGUCUUCGUUGCUGUGUGCAGGCUUUCUCUAGUGGCAGUGAGCAGGGGCUACUCUUCAUUUCGGUGUGUGGCCUUCUCACUGCGGUGGCUUCUCUUGUUGUGGAGCACGGGCUCUAGGCGCGUGGGCUUCAGUAGUUGCAGCAAGCAGGCUCGGUAGUUGUGGCUCGUGGGCUCAAUAGUUGUGGCUCGCGGGCUCUAGAGCGCAGGCUCAGUAGUUGUGGUGCACAGGUUUAGUUGCUCUGCGGCAUGUGGGAUCCUCCCAGACCAGGGCUUGAACCCGUAUCCCCUGCAUUGGCGGGUGGAUUCUUAACCACUGUGCCACCAGGGAAGCCCCCACCCACAUUUUUACGUGUAAAUUUUAUUA